CUUGAGUAAUCCUCUAGAAGAUUCAGCAGCUAAAAACCUACACUACAACCAGCUUUCUCACGCACUUACCUUAUUCAUGCUCACUCUCUUUUCUGCUAGUUGACCAUAUGUCACACAACAUUGUGACCCGGCACCCUGAGGACUUGGUGCUGAUCGUUGUGCUGAUGACUGCACUCUGCUGCCUGCUCACAGCCUGGCUCCAGGAGUGCAGUGAGCUCCUUUGACCCGGAGGGUGCCGGCAUGCAGUCCUGUGAAUGCUGAGACCUGUCUCUGUAGAGCCACCUCCCGACCCACUGAUGGUACUAUUUUUAUAUGAUUAAGCAAUAGUCUUGCUGGAAAACAAGGAGUUGUUCUUGGAAAGAUGACUUUGACCAGCAGAAUAAUGUUGCUGAGAGCCAGGAGCCAUGCACAGGGCAGUGAGUCCUGAUGGUAGGAUGGUGCCAACAGACUGCUGAGAGGACACUGAAGAGUCUGAAGAAUCAAGGAGGAAGAUGGUGGGUGCAGGUCCUGAGGACAGAGGUCUGGGCGGGCUGCUUCAAAGCGACAUAGAAGUAGGGGCGGGGUGGUGGUGCACUUGGUUAAGCGCACCUGUUACAAUGCACAAGGGCCUGGAUUCGAUCCCCUGGUCCCCACCUUCAGGGAGAAAUCUUUAGGAGUGGUGAAGUAGUUCUGCAGGUGUUUCUUUGCCUCUCUUUCUUGAUAACACCCCCUUCCUUCUUGAUUUUUGGCUGUCACUAUCCAAGAAAUAAAGAUAAUUUAAAAACAAAGUGACCUAGAUGCAUCUGGAAGCAGCCUGUGUCCAGGUUCUCCUGGCUGUCCUCUCUGCAGUCCUGCUUUAUGACCCCCACCUUUAUAAACUGUGUGGUGUCCUUCUGGCCUGUUCUGCUCCCAACAUCUGACUGCUCUCAACUGUCAGUCACCAUGGGUUUUCCUUGGGGUCCUACCUGCUUCACCAUGGGACCAAGAACACGGGGUCCAGAGUUCUGUCCUUUCCUGAGUAUGGGUGCCUGGACCUGAAAUCAGGUUCCUGGCUGAGUUGGGGGAUAAAGGAAAUGCUAUAUUGUCCUGGUAGAAUGAUCAGAUUGGGGGUUAGACACUGGGGGUCAGAACCCUGCAGUGUCCUGCUCUGCCCAGUGUAACACUGACUGCUUGGCUCUCACAGGGCCCAGGGUUUUAGUCAAUGCAAUUAAGCAAGCUUUCCCCUCCCUCCUUUUUUUUUUUUUUUUUUUUCCACCAAAGCACUGUUCAACUCUAGUUUAUGGUGGCCCAACAGAUUGAGUUUGGGACUUUGAAACCUCAGGAUUGAAAGUCUCUUUGCAUAAAUAUUAUGCUAUCUAUCCCCACCCACCUACUUUUUUUUCUGACUGUUAUAGUGAAACCUGCUGCCCAUCCCUGUCCCACCCUGUGCUGUUUAUGUUCAUAUUCAUGUUGUUCUGGUCUUAGAGAGUGUCACCUGCAUAAAUAUUCCAGGAAUGUCCCCUUUUGAAAAACAGAUGAAAAGUGUUCAUAAAAGCAUAAUUACUUUUCCGUGAAUGUGCAGAGCUAGUCUUCCCUGUCAUCUGCUUACAGAUGGUUAGCAGAAUUUAAAGCAAUUUUGUAAAAAUUUUCAAUUAUUUUUAUUAAAUUAUUUUCAAUUA